GAGAAGAGGGGGCUUUCGGAGCUGGUUCUUUAGUGCUUUAGCUCUCUAGCUCUCUGGCUAGCAAGCCUUUGGCCUUGGGUUUUUUGGCCCUUACCACCUGGGCUGUCAGCUGAGCUAGUGAGCCUUUUUGGUUUUUUUCCAUCUGGACCUGAGCUGAGAAGGAAGGUCAGCGGGAUGCCUUCUGCUUGAUGUGAAUUACGAAGUAUGCGAACUCCAUUGAGACAGAUGGGUGAAGCAGGUAGUGAUGGUGCCGUGCCGGUCUUUAAUACUAGCACUCUGGAGGCAGAAGCUGGAUCUCUGUGAGUUCGAGGCCAGCCUGGUCAACAAAAGCUUACUGUGAACACCGAGCAAAUCCACUGUGUGGGCAGUGCAUUCCGCAAAGAGGAGAAGGAAUUUAUCAAUCCACGAAGAGAAGGACAGCCUCUUCCUGGCAAGAGGAAAGCCAAG